rnacentral:rRNA from 1 species
UACGGAGGGAGCUAGCGUUGUUCGGAAUUACUGGGCGUAAAGCGCACGUAGGCGGCUUUGUAAGUUAGAGGUGAAAGCCCGGAGCUCAACUCCGGAACUGCCUUUAAAACUGCAUCGCUUGAAUCCAGGAGAGGUGAGUGGAAUUCCGAGUGUAGAGGUGAAAUUCGAAGAUAUUCGGAAGAACACCAGUGGCGAAGGCGGCUCACUGGACUGGUAUUGACGCUGAGGUGCGAAAGCGUGGGGAGCAAACAGG